UGGAGGGCAAAUAGGAGUGGCGAGCAUGACAUGCUGUGACAGAAAUUAACUUAAUUUCUAAACAAUUAUUUUGUGUUUAGCCAAAAGAAAAAAAAAGGGCAAAUAAUGUACAUUUUUUAAUGUGAGAUUAGUUUGGAGUUGGUCUUGGAGGUGAUCCAGUGAGGCGCAUUUCAACAAAUCAUGGUGUUUUUCCGACCAAAAGAGGAGGCAACGAAUAAAUUAAUGAACUCAAACUAAAACACCAAGGCCAAAAAAAAAAAAAAACUCAAAAUAGAAAACAGAAGACACAAUCACAUGAUAAAAGUAAACAGAGACAGAGAGAGAAAGAACAAAGGGUGUUUUCUAAGUUGUUUUGUUGCAGUUAGCUGCGCGAGAACCGUGUGUUCGGGUCGGGUCUUGAGAAGUUGAUUGUUAGGUUCUCUCUGAUCACUGUGCUGCGUCCAUUGAAGAGAAGAGAGGAAAAAUGGGUUGGAUUCCCUGUUCUGGAUAUUCAGGCACUAAGAAUAAGAUUGAGAAGAUGGAAGUUCAAGACAGUCUUGUUGGUCAGAUCAAAGCUACCCCAGGAAAGUUGAAGAGGAAUUCAUCAAAAAAUUCAAAAGAUGCAUCUAAAAAUGGGAACCCUGAUCACAUUGCAGCACAGACAUUCUCAUUCCGUGAGUUGGCAACUGCAACUAGAAAUUUUAGAGCUGAAUGUCUUUUGGGAGAAGGAGGCUUUGGUAGAGUAUACAAAGGGCGUUUGGAAAGCAUUAAUCAGGUUGUUGCAAUUAAGCAACUUGACCGAAAUGGACUGCAAGGGAAUAGGGAAUUCCUUGUUGAAGUGUUGAUGUUAAGUCUACUUCACCAUCCUAACCUUGUAAACCUUAUUGGUUAUUGUGCUGAUGGAGAUCAAAGGCUUCUAGUUUAUGAAUAUAUGUCAUUAGGAUCCUUGGAAGACCACUUGCAUGAUAUUCCUCCUGGCAAGAAACGACUGGACUGGAACACGCGAAUGAAAAUUGCUGCUGGGGCAGCAAAGGGUUUGGAAUAUCUUCAUGAUAAAGCUAAUCCUCCUGUCAUCUACCGCGAUCUAAAGUGCUCCAACAUUUUGCUUGGUGAAGGGUAUCACCCUAAGUUAUCUGAUUUUGGUUUGGCUAAACUUGGCCCAGUUGGGGAAAACACCCAUGUAUCAACAAGGGUUAUGGGCACCUAUGGAUAUUGUGCUCCAGAGUAUGCAAUGACUGGUCAAUUGACUCUAAAAUCGGAUGUUUAUAGCUUUGGUGUAGUUCUUCUGGAAAUAAUUACUGGAAGGAAAGCAAUUGACAAUUCAAAAUCAGCAGGAGAGCAGAAUCUUGUUGCCUGGGUAAGAGACUCCUACGGUUAUCUCAUUUCCUGGGGUUGGCUCAUGAUUUAGCACAGCACACCAACCCUUAGACCAAUCUAUGAAUGCUCUUGGUUAAAUGGCAUACACAUCAGUGUGGGCUAGACCCUUGUUUAAGGACAGAAGAAAGUUUUCACAAAUGGCUGAUCCAAUGCUCCAAGGUCAAUAUCCUCCAAGAGGGCUAUACCAGGCCCUUGCUGUUGCAGCAAUGUGCGUUCAGGAGCAAGCUAACAUGCGUCCAGUUAUAGCUGAUGUUGUCACAGCUUUGUCUUACCUUGCUUCACAAAGAUAUGAUCCCAGUACACACUCAGUCCAAAGCUCUCGUCUCGCUCCUGCUACUCCUCCUAGAACCAGGAGAAGGCAAUGAUAUUUAUAAAAAUGCAAGUUUUGAGUUUAACUAAAUCUUAUAUAAUCUGUAAGACGAGAGAUGUUCUCCACUUAUUUACUCUAUUUUGAUUAUAAUUCUACUUGAUAUGAGAUCUCCGAUAAUAUGGAGCUCAAUGUUCGGUGGAUAUAACAUAAUCCAAAGAUAAAUUCAAAUAUAUUAUUUAA